CCUACGGGUGGCAGCAGUGAGGAAUAUUGGUCAAUGGGCGCGAGCCUGAACCAGCCAAGUCGCGUGAGGGAUGAAGGUUCUAUGGAUCGUAAACCUCUUUUAUAAGGGAAUAAAGUGUGGGACGUGUCCUAUUUUGUAUGUACCUUAUGAAUAAGGAUCGGCUAAAUCCGUGCCAGCAGCCGCGGUAAUACGGAGGAUCCGAGCGUUAUCCGGAUUUAUUGGGGUUAAAGGGUGCUUAGGCUGGCUUUUAAGUCAGCGGUGAAAGUCUGUGGCUCAACCAUAGCAUCGCCGUUGAUACUGGGGGGCUUGAGUAUGUUUGAGGCAGGCGGAAUGCGUGGUGUAGCGGUGAAAUGCUUAGAUAUCACGCAGAACCCCGAUUGCGAAGGCAGCCUGCCAGGCCAUGACUGACGCUGAGGCACGAAAGCGUGGGGAUCAAACAGGAUUAGAUACCCUUGUAGUC
rnacentral:rRNA from 1 species